GGGAUGGAGAGAGAGAGAGAGAGAGAGAGAGAGAGAGAGAGAGAGAGAGAGAGAGAAACCCACUGUAGUUAAGGCUAGCAUAACUGCCUCCACCUCCCUAGUGCUGGGAUCCCAGGCAUGUCCCACUGUGCUCAGUUUAUGAGGUGUUGGGGACAAACCCAGGGCGUCUUACAUGCUAGAUAAGUCCUCCACCAACUGAGCUACACCCUGGCCACAAGCUCUGUAAUGUCGUUUUCUAAUUGGCAUUACAGUGGCUGGAGAGAUGGCUCAGUAGUUAGAAGCACUUGCUGCUUAUGCAGAGGUCUCAGAUGUGGUUCCCAGCACCCACAUAGCCGCUCAAACCAUUUGUAGCUCCGGUUCCUGGGGAUCCAAUGCUUUCUUAUGACUUCCAUAGGCACCAUGCAUGCUCCCGGUGGACAAACAUGCAUGCAGACAACACACUCUUACUCAAAAAAUAAAUAGAUCUAAAAAGCAGGUCAAACAAACCGGCACUACAGUUAACUGUCCAACCUGGGGACAUGGAUGAGCACUCCCCUGUGCCGGGGUUCUUCCUUCCCUGGAAACUGAGCUGGUGUGGACAUUUGUUACCAGCUGUCUGGGGUGCAGAAACCGGCCAAGCUGCCUGAAGAGGUUUAGACCGACUCACUUGGAGAGGACACUCUCCACUGUUGAAAUGCCUGCAGCCUGUGCAGUGUGCGCCCCUGCAGCUGUCUUUGAGUCAUUUCUGCUCCUGUAAGUAACCCCUCACCCAUAUUCCUGUAACUCCAACAAAACUCAUUGGUCCACCAGGUUGUAUGCUAUGUGUUGUGUCGCCCCAGGAAAAGGUUUGUCACACAACAUAACUGGUGCCUGGACAGGGACCCAACUAGAGAUGAGCUGGUUGAAGAGUGAGUUCACGGUCCUGGCUAUGGGUGGCAAGACAUGCAACUGGGGCAGUUGCUAAGCAGCCUGAGGGGGCAGCAUUUGCAGAGGAAAUUCCAAGAGAGGUGCCCUUUCCUGUAUGGUGUGUAUUAGCGUGCCUUUGCUCAUGACAGCGGUUGCACGGUUCUUGCUACGAGUCGUGAGACAUGCAACUAAGGCUGAGUCAUCAGGAUUAGGGCUGUCUAUGGGAGAAAUCUCAGGAUGGCACUCUUAGACUGUGUGGUAUGGGGUGGCAUGCCUGCUUGAUGAUUGCGGUCCACCAUGUGAAUAUGGAGGUUCCCUGAACAGUUACAAGUUUAGAUGAAAGUUUGCAGUCUCUGAGAUUAGUGCACAAGAUCUGAGAUUGUGGGCGGCAGCAGCAGCAGAGGUGGCCUGACCAUUGUUGUGUAGCUAGAAAUACAUCUGAAGUGGCUGCCAAGCAGGACGUAUUUGUGUAAAGGAGUGACUCCAACAAGAGAGGGAGAUGUGGCAGCACCCUGUUAGCCUCUGAUCGGGCAAGUAAAUUACAUAAAUGAGAAGGUGUGGAGGUGUAGAUGUGAAACUAACCACCCCAAGGACACUGUCUUUUUUUAAGAGGGAGAAGUCACUUACACGAGAAACCGAGAACUGAGCUCAGCACUCUGAUCUCUGAACCUCGACCGGAAUCUGAGAGAGAGAGAGAGAGAGAGAGAGAGAGAGAGAGAGAGAGAGAGAGAGAGAGAGAGAGAGAGAGAGAGAGAGAGAGAGAGAGCUCCCCUUUCUUCCUUCCCUUUAUCCCUGGCUUCUCCCACAUACCUGCAGGUACGUGAGAUCUCCCCUACAGAGGUGUGGUCUUGAAACCUUCUUAAGGCUUGGGGCUAGAGGGAAAAGAUAAUACACCGUGCUUAGAAGUUCUUCCUGGGAUUCAAGAACUUGGAACCCAGGGAAGAUCCAGAGAGUAAUGAGGAGGAGGAGGAGGGGAAUAUCACAAAAGCAAUAGAAGAUGCCCUCAGGUCUGAGCUUUAGUAGAAAGAAGAGGGGAAUCUAUAAUCCAUUGUGCAGAUGGGGGCAUUAACAAUGGUCCAGGGUGGUAAUGGGGAAAUAUUCAGCACGUAAGCUGCUAGAACCGGGGAAGACUUUUCAACAAGCUUCUGCCGCCACCUGGCUUCUGCCACUGUGGGACAUGGGGGUGAACAGGAUCAGUCUGACUUAGUGGAGGCAGGAAAACUGAGUCAUGUGACUACCUGUCCCUCCUUAAGGAAAAGGCUGCAUAGCCUGAGACAGUAUGAGGGAAGUCGGUCCUCCAGGGACUGACUUCUCAGAGCCAUUCAGAACACUUGGUUAUCUCCAUCUGAGGUCCCCAUAAAUAUCAGGUUGGAGGACCAGAGAGGAGGGGCAGAUGCUAUCGAGGGAACUAGGAAUAGGAGAGGCUGUAUUUAAGCCCCAGUUCACUGGAAGUGUGUUGACAGAGGAGAUAAAGAAAAGGCUGACUCAGCAGCCCCCCCCAGACUGGUGUGGAGCUUUGGUGGCUUUGCUGAGUCUGCUGAGGUGGGGCACAAUCUUUAUAAAGAAGGAAAGGCUUUGGCAGAUCUCAGAGACUCAGACCAGCAUGUGAUGGAUGAGAGCUCAUAAAGCGAGAGAACAUCCUAGAGGAGCCAGUAAAAUUGUAAAGUGAAAGAAGACGACAAAUGUGGCAAGAUGUGUGUCGAGCUGGAGCUCCUGAGGAGAAAACUGACAGGAAGCCAAACUGUAUGCCAAGAAGCUUCUGGAAGGGGUAAAGCCUGAAGAGCAGUUCACAGAAGACAUCCCUGAUAAGUACAAGUGAAGACAGUCAAUCCUAUGCCAGAGGUGGACUGCCUUCCUGUGAGUUGUUGGCCAGGGAAGCCUCCGAGGCCCCACAAGCCAUAAAGGCUGUGGCUGCUGUUGUUGAUCACUGUUGUCAUCAGCCUAAACUCAACUACUAGUGACACUCCCGAGAACACAUGACUGUUAUUGUGGCAUGGUGCCUACUUCUUAGUCAUAGGAAGACAUCUAUAGUUGCACUCUUCAAGGCUCAGAAGAGGAACACAGGAGGAAUGAAGGUGCUGUGUAACAGUUUCCUCUGAGAUUAAAACAUUCCAUCCUGCAGGAAGCUCCUCGAGCAGGAAGUAAACGCCUCACAACAGCUCCAGGAAGUCCCUGAAACUGACCAGAUUCACUAGGCCCCUCCCUGCCAGAAUAAGCAAUAAAAGCUGAGCAUUCCCUCUGUGACUAGCAGAGUGGACCAGUGAAGAAGAUUCCGAGACAAGAGCAGCUGCCUGGAAAAUGUAGAAACCAGCUGUGCUGCCUUUUUCACUUGGAAAGGACACUCUCCACCACAUUAAGCCUGAAGGCUGUGCAGUGUGCUCCAGGCUCCCAGCCCUGUGAGCUGUCACUCAUGCUGGGGUUAGCUUUGAUGAUGCAACUGCCUUUGAGUCAUUUCUUUUUCCUCUAAGUAACCCCUCACCAAUAUUCCUGCAAGUAACCCCAAUAAAAUUCAUCGGUUCACCUGG